rnacentral:rRNA from 1 species
UGGGGAAUUUUCCGCAAUGGGCGAAAGCCUGACGGAGUGACGCCGCGUGGGGGACGAAGGCCUUCGGGUUGUAAACCCCUGUCAGAGGGAAAGAAGGGUGUCGGCGUGAUAACCGCCGGCACUUGACGGUACCUUCAGAGGAAGCCCCGGCCAACUCUGUGCCAGCAGCCGCGGUAAGACAGAGGGGGCAAGCGUUGCUCGGAAUCACUGGGCGUAAAGGGCGCGUAGGCGGGAUGGCAAGUCGGUCGUGAAAUCUCUCGGCUCAACCGAGAAACGUCGGCCGAUACUGCCGUUCUUGAGGGAUGCAGAGGAGACUGGAAUUCCCGGUGUAGCGGUGAAAUGUGUAGAGAUCGGGAGGAACACCGGUGGCGAAGGCGGGUCUCUGGGAAUUUCCUGACGCUGAGGCGCGAAAGCGUGGGGAGCAAACGGG